rnacentral:rRNA from 1 species
AGAGUUUGAUCCUGGCUCAGGAUGAACGCUAGCGAUAGGCUUAACACAUGCAAGUCGAGGGGCAGCAUUAUUUUAGCUUGCUAAGAUAGAUGGCGACCGGCGCACGGGUGCGUAACGCGUAUGCAACCUGCCUGUAAUUAGGGAAUAACCCGGUGAAAGUCGGACUAAUACCCUAUAUUCUUCUUUCUCCGCAUGGGGAAGGACGGAAAGAUUUAUUGAUUACAGAUGGGCAUGCGUCCCAUUAGCUUGUUGGUAAGGUAACGGCUUACCAAGGCAACGAUGGGUAGGGGGACUGAGAGGUUGACCCCCCACACUGGUACUGAGACACGGACCAGACUCCUACGGGAGGCAGCAGUGAGGAAUAUUGGUCAAUGGGCGAGAGCCUGAACCAGCCAAGUCGCGUGAAGGACGACGGUUCUAUGGAUUGUAAACUUCUUUUGUAGAGGAAUAAUGGCAGCUACGCGUAGCUGAGAUGCAUGUACUCUACGAAUAAGUAUCGGCUAACUCCGUGCCAGCAGCCGCGGUAAUACGGAGGAUACGAGCGUUAUCCGGAAUUAUUGGGUUUAAAGGGUGCGUAGGUGGCGUAUUAAGUCAGUGGUGAAAAGCUGCAGCUCAACUGUAGUCUUGCCGUUGAAACUGAUAUGCUAGAGAGGAGACGAGGUAUGCGGAAUGUGUGGUGUAGCGGUGAAAUGCAUAGAUAUCACACAGAACGCCGAUUGCGAAGGCAGCGUACCAGGCUCCGUCUGACACUGAAGCACGAAAGCGUGGGGAUCAAACAGGAUUAGAUACCCUGGUAGUCCACGCAGUAAACGAUGAAUACUAGAUUUUUGCGAUAUACUGUAAGAGUCUAAGCGAAAGCGAUAAGUAUUCCACCUGGGGAGUACGCCGGCAACGGUGAAACUCAAAGGAAUUGACGGGGGCCCG